rnacentral:lncRNA from 1 species
GUAAGACAGAAAAGUUCUCCAAGUCCCCACUCGACCCAGGAAGUCCAGCUGGCUUCGCCUCUCACUGGAAUUACAGAUGGUGGAUUGGAAACAGUGUCAGCAUGACUCUCCCACUUGGAAAGACAAAAUGGUGAGUAGAAAUUCAUACUGUGAACUUUUUUCUAAGAAGCAAUGCAGGAACUGAACAGAAAAACAGAAACCAUAGACCCUUUGAAAGAAGCAGCAGGCUGCAGCCUACACCCACUGUGAGCCAGGUGAAAAAUUGUAAGUCCUCAGAGUGUGACAGGGGGAGAGACUGCCUCCAGGAUAUACAUCCCCACCAGGUAACCUGGCAAUUCAGCCCACAGGGGAAGGCCUUAACCAUACCCAGCACUGGAACUAAUAUAGGGAGUGGUGGGGUAAUAUAAAAGUAGGAGCAGCAGCAAGCAGAGCCUUGCAUGCAUUCCUAGUCUCCAGCACAGACCGAGGGAAGCCACUCCUGAUUCUACGUCACAGAGGGCCUCACGGAAGUCAACUAGCUCAGGCAGAGGUUGCAGGUUGAAAGAAGCUCCCAACUGAAAUUCAUAUAAUCUUGAGUGGGGAUGAACUCCCUUGACCAGAACCAGUGGGUGAGUAAGAAGUGUGCUGCAGCCACAGGCACAGGAACCGGGCACUCUUGCUUUGCAGGUAGAUUGGGAGGGGGCAUGGCCUGAACACUGGUUCCUGUCUCCACAGGGAAGGCUUAUGGCCUAGGGCAGUUUUGAGUUCUGAGCUUACACGGCCUGGAAUUUAGCUAGCGGCUGCUAGUGAACACUAUAGGUGAGAGACCUGCCUUGCCAAGUGCAUGAGAGCUGGGUGAGGCUUGUGAACUCUUUUAUGUGGCAGAGGCAGCUAUGUUCCUUCCUGAAACAUUACCCCAGUGGCCAGAGAAAUGCCCCCUAAACCCCUCAGGAGCCUCUGCUUGCCCUGCACAUGGAGAGCCAAAGCAUGGACCUGCCUAACCCAGCCCCUACCUGGCUUUGCCCCUACACCAGCCCUGGUAGUUCACUACAAGGGACAGCAACUUUUGGGAGCCCUAUGGCCAUUGCCUGAGAAUCCAGAGUACCUCUCUGGGGUAACAUAAGGCAAUUAACAUAAAGCAAAGCAGUUAAUCCCACCACUUCUACUGUAGCUGGUGCUCUAUUGCAAGUACCACCUCCUGGCUGGAGGCCAACUGAUACAUUAUAGCAUCGUUGGGUAGAAUAACCCUGUGCCCAGGAAAGAGAAAACUUGUGCAUGACCUCAGCUAUCACCAUCGCCUGCACCACCCUGGCUAACCAGGAGGUCCUGAUCUGUCCACAUGACAGAUUCAUUGGUACUACAAGCAGCAUUUGAGACAGCCAAUACAUGAAGGCUAUUUACAACCAAGGAAUCUCACAGAGUCUACAUCACUCCCCUGUGACCCGCAUCAGAAGGGGUGUUGGUACUUGCUGCUGGGACAAUUAAGGACUGGUCACAUCACUGGAUCUCUUGCAGACACUCCCCAGCACCAGCCUGGAGUGUGGCAGCUCCACUAGGUGGCUAGACGCAGCAGAGCAGCAGCAUUCACAGUGGUCUGUUUCUUAGGGAAUCCUACUCCUAGGGGAAAACUUCCUAGGGGAAUUGGGUGUGCACCACAUCAAGGGAACACCCCAUGGAACAAAAAAAUCCAGAUGCAGGCCUUGAGUCCUGGAUCUUUCUGCUGAUGGAAAGUCUCUUUCAGCAGAGGCACAGUUACAAUACUGAGCUCAGCAGGGAAAGUCUGAAGCUCUACCCCAACACACAGGUAACCCUGGUGCUCAUGAAGGGUCUUGGAGAAGGGGACUUCUUUUUCCCCUUGUCCACCACUGCAGAAACAACUGGGGCUUUUCCAGUGGGAGCAUGUGUGGGUACACCAUAGAGAGCCUUGCUGGAAAACUUCAGGGUAACUGCAUCCCCACAGUAGAGAGCACCUUCUAUGUUCAGACUUGGAUGAGAGGUAGACUCACGAUUCCUCUCAACUUGGAACAUCAACGUUCCUGCAGACAAAAUGAGGUGCCUGUCUGAUCUGCAUAGCUGGAACACUGAGUCAGGAGUGUGUCUGGGAGGUGGACUGCUUCCCUGCGCCUUGCGGGGGAGCUGAUGUGGCUCCCAAUCUACCCCCUGAUAAGACCUCAGUGUGUUUCACUGAGAGCUCCACCUAUCACCUAUGUCAAGAUUGGGACUUCAGCCCGCCAUUGGGUACUGCAUUUACCUACUACAAUAACCACAACCAGUUUCUACCAGAGAUGUCUCCCCUACUGGCCUGAAGCCUAAAAUAUUCAACCCAGUAAAUAAAAUACAGGGAAAAUAAACAAAUAUAAGUGCACAACACAGGAGAACAAGGUAAGCUUCAAGAUACCUCUGCAAUUCCAACCCCAUUGGAGACAGUGAGCACAAUGCUACUACAACCAUUAUCUGAGAAAGCCAUCAAACAAAGACUUUCUAUAACCAAGGAAUUAAUAGUCUUCACCUCUGAAAGCACCAAGAGUCGAAAUAGGCUACAAUAAAGUCACAUCCUUAAGGGAGAAAAGAUAAAUAAAAAAAACCAACAAUUGAAUAAAAAAUAAAUUCAAGACUAAUUAGAAGAUAUAUUCUACCCAAAUGAGAGAGAGAAAAAAAACAGAAAAAUAAUUCUGGUAAUAUGAAAAAAACAGGAUUCUAUUACACCCCCAAAAGAUCACACUAGCUCUCCAGCAAUGGAUCCAAACCAAGAUGAAAUCUCUGAAAUGCCAGACAAAGAAUUAAAAAGAUUGAUUAUUAAGUUACUCAAGAAGAUACCAG